rnacentral:lncRNA from 1 species
UAUAACGACGGAAUAAGCAACAGACUAAUAUUGGAUUUUUUUUUGUUUUUUUUUUGUAUGUACGCUCUUGCACCUUAAAUGACUCAAACUCUCUCAAUCUAUUUGUGGGAGGUAAAGCACUUUACCAUUUAGAUGAUUCAAAUCCUCGAUUUAUUACUUGGUGGAAAAACGUCUUACCACUUGAGUUACGCUUCAUCAUUACUAAGCAUUAUAAUUAAAGACAAAUUCCUUAAUUACAUGAUAAUACAAGCAGGGGCAACUGCAACUGCUCCAACAGCUGUUACUACGGUACCUCCAAGAAGAAACCCUGCGUUGAGUGCCUCCAAAGUUUCCAGAAUCCUUUCCUGAAUAAUAACAAACUUUUAAUUUGUAUAAUCAAAAUUAGUCCAUUCUUAAUUAAACUAAGUAAUUUUUAUUUUAUUUUUUUAGUUAGAGAAGAGGAACAGAACUGGAGUUUGAACCUUGAACGUCACUGUUAACACAGAAGGUCAUCACCGUUUGGGUGUCGNUCGAACGAGCGAGGAAGGUCGUCGAUAGAUUCAAAGAGGAUUCCGAUUUCAAAUUUUUCCACGAAAGCGUCUCCGAUCUCUUCGCUCAGCGAUUGAGAUCUGACAUGGAGAUGCUGAAAUCGGAGAAUUUGAACAAAAUCAGCCUCGCCGCAAAGUGGUGCCCGUCGCUCGACUCCUCCUUCGAUAGAAUUACCUUACUGUGCGAGACGAUCGGGAAGAAGGUGUUUCCGAGGGAGGAAUACACCGAAUACGACGGCGUUUUGGAGGCGCAUUACGCUUAUCGAGUGAGGGAUCGGCUGAGGAAGGAAGUCCUCGUGCCGCUGCGGAAGGCGCUGGAACUGCCGGAGAUUUACAUGGGCGCUCAAAAUUGGGGAUCGCUGCCGUACAACAGAGUCGCCUCCGUCGCGAUGAAAAACUACAAGGAUCAAUUCUUCAAGCACGACGAGGAGAGAUUUAAACAGUAUUUAGAGAAAGUUAAAUCCGGCAAGGCGAAGAUCGCCGCCGGCGCGCUGCUGCCGCACCAGAUCAUCGAGGCGCUGGAUGACGACGACGGCCGCGGCGUGGGGGAGGAGGUGGCGGAGCUGCAGUGGAAGAGGAUAGUGGACGAUAUGGCGAAGAUCGGGAAGCUCAGUAACUGCCUCGCGAUCUGCGAUGUUUCUGGAAGCAUGGAGGGAACUCCGAUGGAUGUCGCGGUGGCGCUAGGGCUUCUAGUGUCGGAAUUGAGCGAGGAUCCAUGGAAAGGGAAGCUGAUCACGUUCAGUGAGCAACCUGAGAUGCAAAUUGUGAAAGGCACAUCGUUGAAAAGGAAAAUUGAAUUCGUGAAAGAGAUGGAUUGGGGAUGCAACACCGAUUUCCAGAAGGUGUUUGAUGUGCUGCUGAAGGUGGCGGUGGAGGGGAAUUUGAAGAAGGAGGAGAUGAUAAAGCGGCUGUUCGUGUUCAGCGAUAUGGAGUUCGACGUGGCGUCGGAGAAUCCGUGGGAGACGGAUUACGAGGCGAUCGUGAGGAAGUUUGGGGAGAAUGGAUUCGGAGAGUGCGUGCCGGAGAUUGUGUUUUGGAAUCUGAGGGAUUCGAAGGCGACGCCGGUGGCGGCGGGGCAGCCCGGGGUGGCGCUGGUGAGCGGAUUCUCGAAGAAUAUGAUGAAGAUGUUUCUGGAAGAGGGAGGAGUUGUGAAUCCGGUGGCGGUGAUGGAGGCGGCGAUAGCCGGAGAGGAAUAUCAGAAGCUGGUUGUGCUUGAUUGAUUGCCAUGUGUUUGAUAAAAGUGAUUGAUUGUUUAGCUGAGUCUUUUAUUUUGCUAUUUUGUUAUGCUUUAGAUGUUAUGUUAGGUUGGUUUCAAAUUUUCAAUUACUCUCGUACUCUUUUCAAUGAAAAACUAAAUAUAUAUUUCUAAGGUUUAAUUGGGAAUUCUUGAAGUUUAAGAUUUUUUUAGUGUGGUUUAUAUCAUAAUUUGCAAGCUAUUGCAUAGAAAAUUUUAUAGACGGACUAAAAUAACAUAUGAAUGACGAAUUUGACAUUAAUUUCAAAUAUAACGACGGAAUAAGCAACUAACUACAUAUGAACGACGAAUUUGACAUUCCAAAUAUCUUCAAUCUAUUUACCGACGAGAUGGAUUACACAUUCAAUCUCUUAGACUUUAACAAGCCCUACUCUGAGAUAAAUUUGAGAACCAAAACCCGAAUUUGACAUUCCAAAUAUCUUCAAUCUAUUUACCGACGAGCUCAAGGAAUUGAGAUGGAUGUACUAUGAGAUAAAUUUGAGAACCAAAACCAAAAUCGUAAUUUAAUUCACUCAAUUGAGUCCUCCUAUCAGUUCGACACAUUCUUGAACAUCAUCUUAUUUCGAUGAUUCCAUAAGUUACAAACAACACAAGUCCAUAUUAUUGCUUUCCACUAGUAUAUAUAAGAACGACAAAUUUGACAUUUAAUAUAACAACGGAAUAAGCAACUGACUAGCGGAUGAACGACGAAUUAAUUUGGCAUUCCAAAUAUAACAACCGAAUAAGCAACUGACUAGUUACAUAUGAACAACGGAUUAAGCCACGGACUAAUAUUAUUCAAAUCCUCGAUCUAUUAGUUGGAGGAAAAACGUCUUACCACUUGAGUUGCGCUUCAUCGUUACUAAGCAUUAUAAUUAAAGACAAAUUCCUUAACUACAUGAUAAUACAAGCAGGGGCAACUGCAACUGCUCCAACAAGUGUUACUACGGUACCUCCCAGAACAAUCCCUGCGUUGAGUGCAUCCAAAGUUUCCAGAAUCCUUUCCUGAAUAAUAACAAAUUUUUAAUUUGAAUAAUCAAAAUUCGUCCAUUGUUAAUUAAAAUAAGUAAUUUUUUUUCCUUUUUUUAGUUAGAGAAGAGAAACACUGGAGUUUGAACCUUGAACGUCACUGUUNNNN